rnacentral:rRNA from 1 species
CCUACGGGUGGCAGCAGUGGGGAAUAUUGGGCAAUGGGCGCAAGCCUGACCCAGCAACGCCGCGUGAAGGAAGAAGGCUUUCGGGUUGUAAACUUCUUUUUAGAGGGAAGAGAAGAAGACGGUACCUCCUGCCUAAGUCACGGCGAACUACGUGCCAGCAGCCGCGGUAAUACGUAGGUGGCAAGCGUUGUUCGGAUUUACUGGGUGUAAAGGGCGUGCAGCCGGGCUGACAAGUCAGAUGUGAAAUCCCGCGGCUCAACCGCGGAACUGCAUUUGAAACUGUCAGUCUGGAGUACCGGAGAGGUCAUCGGAAUUCCUUGUGUAGCGGUGAAAUGCGUAGAUAUAAGGAAGAACACCAGUGGCGAAGGCGGAUGACUGGACGGCAACUGACGGUGAGGCGCGAAAGCGUGGGGAGCAAACAGGAUUAGAUACCCCUGUAGUC